UAGUGUAAUGGUUAGCACAUUUGCUUUACAUACAAAAGGUCCUGGGUUUGCGCCCCAG
rnacentral:tRNA from 1 species